UGGUCCGACUAAAGUCCGUUUGCAUAGCUAAAGCUCAGUCUCUGAGGAGCCUGUCAUUGCCUUGAAGUGCCGUAGAAAGCCUGCUUUAAAUUUGGGCCUUCUGUUACCUGAAAAUGUUUUCAAAAAGUGCUUGUCCUCCCCUCUUCAGAUGUGGGGGCAGGGGGGAAAAGAUGUUUUGGUUUUAAGCCUAUUGCAGUGUUAAGUACGCUUACCUUCUGGUUUGUUUUUUUUAGUUAAAAUAGUUCCUUCCAGGAGUGAAUUGGGAAGGAAGGCAAAUCAGAUUAUUGCUAUGAUAACAGUUGAUGUGCCAAGACGCCUCAAGGUUUCAAGCUAGGGCAACAACUGAGUAAAUUGUAAUCCUACUUUUUGGAUCUUAAACUGAAACUUAUUGUAGACUUCUUACUACGAGUUUUGGGUUAUGGCAGACGUGUGCUAGCUACUGGAAGAGAGAGAAGAGGGAUUCUGUGAUCUGGAAAUGACGGUACUUCAAAAGCCUCACUUACAGGCUGCAUUGAGAUGUGCGAUUCUUCAGCAUCCUGUGUCUGUGGCGACCUUUGGAGAUAUGCAUCAUUGCCAUUUGAUGCUCCCUGUGGCACAUCUGGAGGAACUGAGCCAGAGUUUCUGGACCCGAUGCAAAGAUACCAAAGAGCUGAAUGGCAGCAAAAACAUGUGUUCAGAGAACGAGCUUCUUCAAAACUCCUCUUAAAUACUUCAAAUUAUGUGUGGAAAACAGCUCUCCAGGAAACCUGCUGUAUUAAACAUCAUAGAAAGUGGGAGCAGGAAGACAAAGCAGCCCUGUGGAAAGAUGUUUCAGCAAAGGUUGUUUCUGAACACACUGUGCCUGUCCAACACUGGUGUUGCUCGUUGAAAGACCAGAGCAAUAAUUACAGCUUGUGUCCCUCUUCUACACUGCUCGGAUCGCUUCACUGUUCUUUGCUUCUGCAUCUGUAAAAUGGAUGUAGUUGAGCACUCACCUCUCUGUUUAAAGCCCUCUAAGAUCUAAUGAUAAGUAAAAUACAACAAUUGGGUGUGUGUUUUUGUGAGGAAAGGGUUUAAUGAAGUGCUAAUAUUGCAAAAUAGGUGUUGGAUUCUCAACUGAGAAGCCUAAUUAUUGUCCAGGAUGGGCAGCUGACCAAAGGGGCUUUAAAAGCACGGGCUUGUUCUUUCUGCGAUGCUUAUCAGCCUACCCCUGUGCCUGCCUGAUUCUUUGCACAAGGACUGAAAACAGAAAUGCUCUUUGACAGCUUAAAUAACCAAAUUUAGAAUGUGGCUUCCUGUUCUGACUGGUUCUUCAGGAUUCGAGUAUAGUUUUGCAUGACUUCUCUGUUCUUGCCUUCUCCCCCCCUUUUCUUUAAAACCAGAUAUGGGCUCCUUUCUAAUUACUUUGUUAAUUUUCCUUUAUUGUGUGUAAUAAAGCUGGUGUAUGUAACUGCUGCCUUGGUGGGUGGUAUGCCUCUUGAUCGCUGGAAAAGCUUGUUGCUUUACUAUACUCAGUGUCUCAUCCUGCCCUACAUGUGUUGGCUUGUUAUGACCACUACUGCUGAAAUGGCUUUGUUUUCUUGAUAAAAUGGACGAGGUAAAUGCAUUUGUCUUAAUCUGGCCAUGCUAAAAAUGGCCAGAAGACUUUUACUAGACCAAGUUGUCCCCCUGAAGUGCAGCUCUGCAGGGGGCAGUGGUGGGACACAAGUGCGGGAGGUGCUGGCUGGCUCCCCGUAGUUUGGUCUCUACCUGUUUACAGGUUUGCUGUUGUGAUUUAAGGGUCUCCCUAGAUAAGUCAUCUGUUUGUACUCUCAAUCCACUUAAACUCAUCUGCAGACUCUGUUCAUCACUGAAAGCAACACGUCCUCAGAGCAAUGGGAUGAGUUAACUGACC